AGAAUCAACGCUGGCGGCGUGCCUAACACAUGCAAGUCGAUCGAGAAAGUGGAGCAAUCCAUGAGUAAAGAGGCGCACGGGUGAGUAACACGUGACUAACCUACCCUCGAGUGGGGAAUAACCUGGGAAACCCGGGCUAAUACCGCAUAAUACCCACGGGUCAAAGGAGCAAUUCGCUUGAGGAGGGGGUCGCGGCAGAUUAGUUAGUUGGCGGGGUAAUGGCCCACCAAGACGAUGAUCUGUA
rnacentral:rRNA from 1 species